rnacentral:lncRNA from 1 species
UCCCACUCGAUUGCCAUCAUUGUGCCCAGCCCAAUAUCUGGAAGAUCCUCAACUCGCUUAUCCGCAGGCGACUUACACAAGUUUAGGCCCGGGAUGACAUCAUUUCGUGUUGACGAUGCAUCUUCUCGACUCUCCUACUGACAAGAAGGCACAUCGAUGAUCGGACUUAGAUCAGGGGCAAUAUUCAUGGUCAUGAUGCUCUCACUUCACUCGCCUCGGGCGAGUAGGGGCAUCGGUCCAAAGUCAGAGACGAUCUUCGUAGUCGAUGAUGCUCUCGCUUCACUCACGUGCAAGAGAGUAGGGGUAUCGAAUCGAUGUCAGAAAUGAUCUUCACGGUUGAUGAUACUCUCACUUCACUCAUCUGUGGAUGAGUAGGGGCAUC